GAUGAACGCUGGCGGCGUGCCUAAUACAUGCAAGUCGAGCGAACAGAUGAGGAGCUUGCUCCUCUGACGUUAGCGGCGGACGGGUGAGUAACACGUGGAUAACCUACCUAUAAGACUGGGAUAACUUCGGGAAACCGGAGCUAAUACCGGAUAAUAUAUUGAACCGCAUGGUUCAAUAGUAAAAGACGGUUUUGCUGUCACUUAUAGAUGGAUCCGCGCCGCAUUAGCUAGUUGGUAAGGUAACGGCUUACCAAGGCAACGAUGCGUAGCCGACCUGAGAGGGUGAUCGGCCACACUGGAACUGAGACACGGUCCAGACUCCUACGGGAGGCAGCAGUAGGGAAUCUUCCGCAAUGGGCGAAAGCCUGACGGAGCAACGCCGCGUGAGUGAUGAAGGUCUUCGGAUCGUAAAACUCUGUUAUUAGGGAAGAACAAAUGUGCAAGUAACUAUGCACGUCUUGACGGUACCUAAUCAGAAAGCCACGGCUAACUACGUG
rnacentral:rRNA from 1 species